rnacentral:rRNA from 1 species
UACGUAGGGUGCAAGCGUUGUCCGGAAUUAUUGGGCGUAAAGAGCUUGUAGGCGGUUUGUCGCGUCUGCUGUGAAAUUUCGGGGCUCAACCCCGAACUUGCAGUGGGUACGGGCAGACUAGAGUGUGGUAGGGGAGACUGGAAUUCCUGGUGUAGCGGUGGAAUGCGCAGAUAUCAGGAGGAACACCGGUGGCGAAGGCGGCGCUCUGGGCCGGAACUGACGCUGAGGAGCGAAAGCGUGGGGAGCGAACAGG